UAUCACUAAGCGGAGGAAAAGAAACCAACAGGGAUUGCCUCAGUAACGGNGAGUGAAGCGGCAACAGCUCAAAUUUGAAAUCUGGCCCUCCCCGCGGGGGUCCGAGUUGUAAUUUACAGAGGAUGCUUUCGGCGAGGCGCCUUCCGAGUUCCCUGGAACGGGACGCCGCAGAGGGUGAGAGCCCCGUACGGUCUGGCGCCGAGCCUUCUGUAAAGCUCCUUCGAAGAGUCGAGUAGUUUGGGAAUGCUGCUCAAAACGGGAGGUAAACUCCUCCUAAAGCUAAAUACUGGCCAGAGACCGAUAGCGCACAAGUAGAGUGAUCGAAAGAUGAAAAGCACUUUGGAAAGAGAGUUAAACAGCACGUGAAAUUGUUGAAAGGGAAGCGCUCGCGGCCAGACCUGGGCCCGGUAGCUCAGCCGUCCCUCGGGGCGGUGCACUCUGCCGGUCCAGGCCAGCAUCGGUUCUCGGCGGGGGAGAAAGGCGGUGGGAACGUGGCUCCUCGGAGUGUUAUAGCCCGCCGCCAUGCCCCGUCGNCGACCGUGGUCCGCGCCCUAGUGCCAAGGAUGCUGNCGUAAUGNCCACCAGCGACCCGUCUUGAAACACGGACCAAGGAGUCAUCCUAGUAUGCGAGUGUUCGGGCGUCAAACCCCUACGCGAAAUGAAAGUGAACGGAGGUGAGAGCUUCGGCGCAUCAUCGACCGAUCCUGAUGUCUUCGGAUGGAUUUGAGUAGGAGCAUACUGGGCUGUACCCGAAAGAAGGUGAACUAUGCUUGGAUAGGGUGAAGCCAGAGGAAACUCUGGUGGAGGCUCGCAGCGGUUCUGACGUGCAAAUCGAUCGUCAAAUCUGAGCAUGGGGGCGAAAGACUAAUCGAACCUUUUAGUACUGUUUC
rnacentral:rRNA from 1 species